GAUGAACGCUAGCGGGAGGCCUAACACAUGCAAGCCGAGCGGUAUGGGUAGCUUGCUACCCAGAGAGCGGCGUACGGGUGCGUAACACGUGUGCAACCUGCCCCUAUCCGGGGGAUAGCCCUCCGAAAGGAGGAUUAAUACCCCAUAAUAUAUCUGGUGGCAUCACUAGAUAUUGAAAACCCCGGUGGAUAGGGAUGGGCACGCGCAAGAUUAGAUAGUUGGCGGGGUAACGGCCCACCAAGUCGAUGAUCUUUAGGGGUCCUGAGAGGGAGAUCCCCCACACUGGUACUGAGACACGGACCAGACUCCUACGGGAGGCAGCAGUGAGGAAUAUUGGACAAUGGGUGGAAGCCUGAUCCAGCCAGCCCGCGUGAGGGACGACGGCCCUAUGGGUGGUAAACCUCUUUUGUACGGGGAUAAACCUAUCUACGUGUAGAUAGCUGAAGGUACCGUACGAAUAAGCACCGGCUAACUCCGUG
rnacentral:rRNA from 1 species